GAAAUCUCCAGGGGUGUCCAGCCCGGAGCGAUGCACUGCCUCCCCUGGGCUCCCAGUCCUCACCAGCGCCUCCCAGUUCAGCCACUGGUGGGGGGGGGGACAAAGCCACGCGGGGCUCCCAGUGACAUCGGGGUGGCCCCAGCUUUUCCCCCAGGGUUUGUCCCCGCUCUCGGCUGAAAUCCCUGUGGAAAUGGGAUCGGGCACCGCUCCCCAGGGGAUGCAAAAUCAGAGCCCCAGCCCCGGUGUGGGGCACCACAGAGUGGGAUAAGGACACGGUAGAUCACGUUAUGGGGUUAUUUCUCCUGCUUUAAAGUCUAAGGUGUGACAACAGCUCCCGAUUUGUCACGGAGCAUCCUGCAGCAGCUCGUGUGGAUGGCGAGGGCCGGGGGCUGUCACCGAGCGCUCGCAGCUCAUGGCGGUGACACCGGGCUGGGGGGGGUCAUUGGUGAACGAGGGGGCUCCGGUUCCUUCCCCGGGUUAUGGGUUUAGCUGGGAAUCUGUCUGGGGUGACCAUCUGGUGGCAUCUGUGCCGCUCAGCUGUCACCCCCCUCCUGGCAGCGGGGACACAUGGGGUACCCCGUGGUAUUGGGGUACAGCGGGGAUGCGCCCGCGGCUCGGGACCAUGGCACGGGGGUAGGGGGCAGCCGUGCCAGGCACGUCCGUGGCUCCUGCCGCAGUGGGGACGGACAGACGGACGGACGGACGGAUGGACAGGUGGGCUAGCAUGGGGAGGCAGGGCAGGACGCACAGCUGAGCCUCCUUAGCAGACGAGGUGGCCUCAGGUGAUGCCAACAUCCCAUUAAGGGGCUUUAUCAAGGGAGGCUGCCCCUUUUAGCCGAGAUGCUGCUUUUGGGCUUGGAGAGCCUCUGCUCCUGCUCAUUAAUUAGAGAGGUUUGUGCUGGUUGGCCUCGUCGAGCAGCCGUAAUGUGAUGGGCGAUGAGGGACUCCCAAGCUCUUCUGUGGGGGUCGUUAAGCUACGGAUGGACUCAAGCAGGGAAAGGGCAUUUUUGGCUGAGCCCUAAAACCAGCUGGUCCUGCACUGCCCCUGCUUGUGGUCCUGAUGUCCUGGGCCAUCAGGAGGAUGGAGCUCACCACGGGAGCCUCGUACUCAGCUACGGGGAGGGCAGCUCCUCCUUUCUGGGGACGGAUCUCCUGGAAGCCAAGCACGUGCCCAUGGUGUCCACCUCGUGGUGCCCAGCCCUUGAUGCAUCCCUCAUCAUCCCAGGCUGCCUCCUGGUGCCGGGGUCCCUCUGGAGGGGAUGGAGCUGUUACAGGUCCCAUGCUACGGAGCCAUCUCUGCCCUCCAGGUGGUGGCACCAGGUCGGGGUGAAGCUUGUGCCCGUGCCCAGGUGCCCCCCGAAGCCCUGCCACGCUCACACCAUCCCUGUCCUGGCUCUGUUUGGGGCCGUGGGAGGGACAGGGCCGCGGGGUCUCGCACACCUCGCUCCCAGCCCGGUGCCUGCCUUGUCAGGUCUGAUCAGGAGGAGGAUCAGUCGGCCCCGUGCGCUCUCUCCAGAUUUAAUUAACGGGCCUUUCAUCUCUACCCUGAAGGAAUCUGCUAUCUUCUGUCUUCUUAAUUAACGUUCAUUAAGCAAAUCAGAAGAACACUU
rnacentral:lncRNA from 1 species